rnacentral:rRNA from 1 species
UACAGAGGUCUCAAGCGUUGUUCGGAUUCAUUGGGCGUAAAGGGUGCGUAGGCGGCGCGGUAAGUCGGGUGUGAAAUCUCGGAGCUUAACUCCGAAACUGCAUUCGAUACUGCCGUGCUUGAGGACUGGAGAGGAGACUGGAAUUUACGGUGUAGCGGUGAAAUGCGUAGAUAUCGUAAGGAAGACCAGUGGCGAAGGCGAGUCUCUGGACAGUGCCUGACGCUGAGGCACGAAGGUCAGGGGAGCAAACGGG